rnacentral:rRNA from 1 species
AGAAUGAACGCUGGCGGCGUGCUUAACACAUGCAAGUCGAACGGAAUACAAGGGAGCUUGCUCCUGAACUAUUUAGUGGCGAACGGGUGAGUAUCACGUGAGCAACCUGCCCCGAAGAUUGGGAUAACACCGGGAAACCGGUGCUAAUACCGAAUACCCCUCACACAUCGCAUGAUGAGUGAAGGAAAUGUUUUUUCGCUUCGGGAGGGGCUCGCGGUCCAUCAGCUUGUUGGCGGGGUAACGGCCCACCAAGGCUACGACGGAUAGCUGGUCUGAGAGGACGAUCAGCCACACUGGAACUGAGACACGGUCCAGACUCCUACGGGAGGCAGCAGUGGGGAAUCUUGCGCAAUGGACGAAAGUCUGACGCAGCAACGCCGCGUGGGGGAUGAAGGCCUUCGGGUUGUAAACCCCUUUCGGCAGGGACGAAGCGAAGUGACGGUACCUGCAGAGAAGCGCCGGCUAACUACGUGCCAGCAGCCGC